rnacentral:lncRNA from 1 species
GCAAAUCGGGGUAUGAACUAAUGAAAAUUCUUUAACAAAUAUUACAAGCAAACACAUGAACAGAGAUUCACGAGCAAACAUAAUAUAAAAAAAAAUCAACAAAAAAUAUAAAUCGAAAGAAGCAAGAACGGACCUCAAUAAGCCAUAAUUCAUUUACAAUGGGAGCUAUCAAAUCCAAGUACAAUGGAGAGGUUCGACUUAAUAAUUCUGCUUGAGAUCUGAACCAAGAUUGGAGACUUCUAAAGGCAACAUCGUCGGAACCUCGAAUCGGCGAACUCGAACAUCACCUCACUUUAACGAUUAUUACGGAGCUGAUUUUGGACUGAUUUUGAAGUUGUUUUCGAGCUAUUUCGCAGCUGGUUUCUAUUGCAUUUUGGGAUGCUUUUCGUAGUUGUUUAACCGGUAGAUUUAGACUGAUUUUCAGAGCAAAUUUUGGAGAUGUUUAGGUUCCUUUUGGAUUUGUUUCCAUGGAAGUUCGAGGUGAGUUUUGGACUGGUAUUUAUGGCUGAGUUUCAUGGAGUUUCAACUGAUUUGGGGUGAGUUUAAAUGGCGGUGAAUGUAGCGAGGACAAGAAGAAGGUAGCUGCAGCUACGUUUUCUCUAUUUUUUUAGACUCUCUUUUUCGUCUCUAUCUCCAAAUCCCUCUGUUUUUCACCUCUCCGUUUUUAAUUAUUGGUCCUUGUUGUUAUCCCCCUUUGUUUUUGUGUUGUUUUUUUGUUUUCUUCCCAUAUCUCUCGUUCUCUUUUAUUUUGUUCUAAGAAUUCCCCCUGUUUCGUGGCUCCCUCCCCUGGUUUUGAUUUGGUCCAGAGCUGGUUCUCAAAGAUGGGGAAUGGCAAGCUCUCUCUUUUCUCGAUCCGGAGUUAGGCCUUUUCCUUUGUUCUUUUGUCGUUCCACCAAAUCUCCCCUGUCGUUCUUUUUUCCUAGGUCUAUAUUCUGUUUGUGUGUGUUUAUAUAUUUCAAAGAGAAUAAAGAAAAGCCCUUCUCCAAGAAAAACGUGACCAGUUCCUUUUUCCCCUUUUUUUGUUGUGCCAAAUCCCUUUUUCUCUUUCUUUUCCAUAUCUGUUAUGGGUGUGUAUACAUAAGUGUGUGCGUGACUUUUUUUUGUUAUUAUUGGAAUAAAAUGUGCAUGUGAGUUAGUUAUGGGAAGUGGAUAGGAAAGCAUCUUUUGGCAAGUGGCACAAUUUUAUUAGCUCUUGUUCUUAUAAAAAAAAUCAGGUUUUCUUUUAAAGGGAAAAAGAAAAAUGCUAAGUCAAUAAUACUAUUGAUUCUUAUUUUUUUUAUUUUCGAAAAUAAAACCUAUAAAGGUGAAAUAAAGACUAAAAUAUAUGGAUUAGACUUUAAAGUAUUUAUAUACUAAAGAAAUUGUGAAAAUUUAAAUAUGGUCAAAAAUUAGUUGCUCACAGCUGUCCCUCUUUGCUUGGGAACAUGAAAAAUUUUCAAGCAAAGAUAAAGUGAGCCGUGUGACUAAUUUUUGACCAAAUAUUUAUUCAAAAAGGGAAAAUAAACAAAGGAAAGGGUGCAACCGAGUUCUGGUUUUGGACAGCCUACAUAUCCCUGGCUAUAAGGGAAUCAGGUCGUGUGUAGUUCAAGAAGAAUGAUGGAGUGACGAGUUUGAGAGUCGGGCGAGGUUCCGUCGAGGCUCUGGUCCGCAGUCCUGUUAUUACAUCAAAAUCAAAAAUAAAAAGGAUUAACUAAGCCUAUCAUCUACGAGUUACAAGAUUCCUAUCUAUGAGUCUUCUGAAGCUUGAUCUUGAGUCUUGGUUGGUUCUUCAUGCGGACUCUGAUCUGAAUUUUGAUGCUUGUUAACUGCAGGUGUUAGUUCAUUCUUCCACGGCUUCUUCAUAUCAAGACCGGACAUGCAGUGCUCGUGACUUCAGCCAUGUCUUGAGCGGUCCACAUCUUUCAUCUGCUUCUGCAUUUGGAUUCACUUCCCUCUUUUUUCUUUUUCUUUUUUUUUCUUUUUUUUUUCUUUUUAUUUUCUUUUUUUUUGGGAUUGAGACUUAUUCUUUUGGUUAUCUCGUGUUGUCGACUCGUAUUUUGAGGCAAGCUUCCGCUACUUCUAUCUUGAAUUGAAUUCUGAAAUGACUUCCCUCGUUCUCCAGGUGGGCGCGUGCUACUGACUUGAAAUUUGAAGUGACUCUAAAAUGAAUUCCCUUGUUCUCCAGGUGGGCGCCUGAUACUACAGCAGAACAGACAAAAUAAAAGAAACUUUUCUGCCUCAAUUUGCACUAGGAAGAUUUGUAAGUUGUUAGCAGAACUAUAAAUCACCUACGCUAUUGAUGAGAAUAAAAUUGAAGACUCGACUAGGAUGUGCAUCUCUUGUGAGUAAAACCAAGAAAAUUUUGACUAGCAAAUGCGUCUGCUUAAAAAAACCUGAAUGACCCAUAUUAGGAAGUGCGUCUCCUAAAAUUUAAGAUUGAGCUUGCGGGAAACUAUAAACUAAGCUUGACUAAAGUAAAAACUGACCCUAUUCUCCAGGCGGGACCCCUAAUUUCAAGAAAACUAAAAAUUAAUAACUUAAGAAAACUAAAAAUUGACCCUCGUUUUUUCUUUUUUUUUUCAAAUCCAGACUUCCUUUUUAAAAAAAAUUAUUAUCCUAGGAGAAAAUUCAUCAGACUAGGUUUUAAUCUUAGGAGAAAGAUUCAUCAGACUAAGUUUUUGAUCCUAGGAGAAAGUUCAUCAAACUAGGUCUCUUUUCUUCUUCUUCUUCUUUUUCUCUUUUUUUUUGGUAUCUUAGGAGAAAGAUUCAUCAGAAUAAGAUUUCUAUCCUAGGAGAAAGUUCAUCAAACUAGGUCUUCUAUCUUAAGAGAAAAAUUCAUUAGACUAAGAUUUUAAUCUUAGGAGAAAGAUCAUCAUACUAGGUCUUCUAUCUUAGGAGAAAGUUCAUCAGACUAGGUUUUCUAUCUUAAGAGAAAGAUUCAUCAAACUAAUAUUUUGAUCCUAGGAGAAAAAUUCAUCAGACUAAGUCUUCUAUCCUAGGAGAAAAAUUCAUCGGACUAAGAUUUUGAUCCUAGGAGAAAGUUCAUCAGACUAGGUUUCCUAUCUUAGGAGAAAGAUUCAUCAGACUAAGAUUUUUAUUGGGAGGAAAAUCCAUCAGGCUAGGACUUUUUAUCCUAGGAGGAAAAAAAUAUGACGAGCAAAUGGCAAAACUUUAUGCACACGAGCAAGAUAGAUAAAGGCAAAUAUUUGAGAAACUUUAUGCUCGAUCAGCUUGAGUCGGUCUCAAGAGACUUUUGUUCGGUACUGACUCAGAUUGUUUCACACCCAGUACCAUUUGUAUUUGCGGCUCAAUCAGCCUUAUCCCAACUGGAGAUCUUUGCUUAGGUGACCUUUUCUGAUAUCUUGAAUGACUUCUUACUUUUGAGCAAUUUGUUUGUUAGAGAGAAUCACAAGUUAUCUUUGCUUUUUCCAAGUAGGCUGACAACAGUCUUUUGGGGGAGCCUUUGCUUGAAUCCUCAAAGCAUGUUGACAGUAACAAUCGAGUGUGCUGGCCAAAUUUACUUUGUGCAACUGAAAAGCUAGUAGCAGAUUUUGAAAUAUUUUCUUGUUUGUUUUGACAAGGACUGACUUGGAGUGAAGGACACAAUGAUGCUAAGAAACAAGUAUUAACAAGAAAUGCCCCUGUCGGAAGGAUAGAAGGAAGAGUUUUUUUUCCUUUUUUUUCAAUAACUAGCCUUAAUGGUCAUGACAUGCAUUUUGGACUCAACGGCCUGAUCUAUCAAACUAAUCCAAUCUUCCCUUUGCCAUUCUUUAUUGACCUUUUGAAGUCGGGCUUGUUCGUGCCGAUCCUUUGCAUCGGCUUCAUGACUCACUUUCGACGGUGCCCCAGGGAUUUUUGCCAACAAAUCUCUCUCAUUUAUUCAUCUCUGCUUAUUGUCGCCUUACAGUGCCCAUGAAGGUUUUCACUAGUAAGACUCUCUUAUUUUUUCUUUCUUUUUCUUUUUCUUUUACUUUCUGGUGCGAGCAACUUGACUGUGUUCUAUGUCGCGUGAUAACAGUUGCUCAUUGCAUGCUUCUCUUGGAAUUCUUGAAGGCAUACCGGGAGGUCUUUAUUUGGAAGGAUUUUAGAUAGGGUUGGACAGAAGGGACGGCAUGAAGGCUCAAAGUAGACUCAAAAUGAAGGGUUGUGGACUUACAACUCUUGGAAUCGACUCCUUCAAAAGUGAAAUAAAAUCUUUGCCCUAGUUUCAGAUACUAGGGAUUUUUUUGAAUUUUUAUUUGGUUGGACCGAAUUGUGAGGCGGCCUACGUAUCCUUUUUUUAAGGAAUCAGGUCGAACGUAGUUCAAACAUCUGACCUAAACUAUUUUUCAUCUUUCUUUUUUUCCUUUUUUUCUCUCUUUUUUUCUUUUUUUUCUUUUUUUCUUUUUUUGUUUUCCCCAACUUCUAUCUUCUGGGGGCAUGGGCAUCCGACAGUUCUUUUCUUCUUCUCUUUUUUUCUAAAAUAAGUUGCCGCAGUUUCUAUUUUCUAAGGGCAUGGACCUUCCACUAUUCUUUUCUUCUUCCUUUUUUUCCACUUGAACUUUCAAAGAGCUGCCCCAGUUUGUACUCUUAGGGCAUGAACAUUAUUGUUAUUAUUGUUUUUCAUUUUCAUUUUUUUUGACUUUUGACUCUAGACCUGAUUCCAAAAGAGGGUGGUCAAAGAAAAUAAUACAGGCUCAAAAGGGUGACAAAGGGUAUUAACUGUUUGGGUAGCAGAAAAAAGACCUCCCAACCUCGAGAAUGCCAAACAUACUAUCUUUUCGCGAUCACAACAUUGACGAACAUGUCUGUCUUCUUGGUGUGUCAUGGUCGAAAAACACUUUCCAUCCAUUAAUGUAAAACUUUUGACCAAGUUUCAAUUGAUUCAAAAUCCCCAAACCCGAUCUUCACAAUGAUUUGAAGGUGAAUUUUACUCGACCUUAAUUCCAAAGUAUUUCAACACUUUUUCAUCCUCAAAAGUGUUUUUUUCUCAGUUAUACAAUUCCAGAUUAAAUCAGUUUCUAAGAUCUAGUCAAAAUUUCCGCAUGUAUGUCAUGUCAUUAGAACUAGCGAGAAAAGAACUAAGAACAAAAUGACACAAAAGUACAAACUGUAUUUCAUUGAGUAAAGAAUGAAAGGGUUUGACAACAAGACAAACAACCUAAAAUCCGAGUUACAGCCCUAAACAACCCGGAUAAUGAAAAUAGCAACAGAACAGACAGACAAGACUCACACAAACAGAAUGGAGGGAUAGAAGGGUUUGACUUAAUAAAACAAAUAAAAUCUGGAUGACAACCCUGAAAUAACCCAGAUAGUAGAAAAAACAUCAAAACAAGCUACCAAGAUUCCUUGAGAAUGACUUUUCAAUUGCUAAGCUUGACAUUUAGCCACAAAUUUGCUCAUCAGAAUCACCAUGGCCUUCUCCAAUUUCAGUCGGCAAGUUUCCGAGAGGAUUCUCAUUCUCCAUGUCACCACGCAUCAUCCCCACAAAGUGUACAUCAUCAUGUGUAGGUAAAUGAUUUUGCACGAUAUUUCAAGUGUCACUGUCUUGGAUCACAAUCAAUUUUUCCUAGAUCAUCCUUUCUAUUUCUCUUUUCAAAUCCCGAUAGCUUUGAACAUUGCGCCCCUGGGCAUUGGAAUGGUAUUCGCACCUUUUAGAAGGGUCAAAGCUUCUUGCACAUUGAUCCACAUGAUUUGGAAGAAUAGGUGCAAUCAUAUCAUAAUGCUUUAAUUUCUCAAACAAGCUUUCAUAGGACUCUCCUAUGGGAGUAAAAUUAUCUUUCAACCUUUGUUCCCAUCUAUACCCCUGGCUUGGAUGUAGGUUAUAGGGUACUUGAAAAUUUUGUGGAGGCUGGUGGAGAUUUUGCAGUGCUGGUGCGUGCCUUCUGGGGUAUCUUGGUGGCUUGACAACAUACCGAGGUGGAGCAACAAAGUAUUGUGAGUUCUGCGGUGGAUAGUAGUGCUCAGGAGCAUCAUCAGAAAAAAGACGAGGCUGGUCAUACCUUCGAGAUGCUCUCCUAGGACCUCUUCUCGACCCAUAUGUUAUCAUGAUUUCUUCGUCCUUCUCAUUCGUGUCACUAAAAUUAUCAGAUUCAAUCUGGCCAGCCUGAGUUGCGGCUUUGAGAACUGCUUGACUUAUAAUUCUGCCUGUCUUAAGUCCAUUCUCAACCAUUUCCCCCAUUUUGAUUGCUUCCGAGAAAGAUUUACCUACUGCGAACAUCAUGUUUUGAAAAUAAUCUGGCUUUUGAGCCUGAAGAAAGACAGUGAUUAGCUCGUGAUCAUCCAUGGGUGGCUUAACUCUAGCUGUUUGCUCUCUCCAUUUAAUGGCAUAGUUGGUUUCUUCUUCAGGUUUGAAAGGGAAUUGUGGUUUGGGGCGAUGUCGAUGUUGUAUUGGAACUGUUUGACAAAGGCCUGUGCCAUGUCAUUCCAGAUAUACCAGCGAGAUGUCUUUAUCCAUAAACCAUUCGGAGGCUACCCCUGUAAGGCUUUCCUCAAAAUAAGUUAUUAGCAAUUCUUCAUUUCUUCCUGCACCUCUUAGCUGAUUGCAAUACCUUUUCAGGUGGGCUAUGGGGUCUCCAUGUCCAUCAUACUUUUCAAAUUUAGGGAUCUUGAAACCAAGUGGCAAACGAACAUCAGGGAACAUACAUAGAUCCUUGAAGGCAAUACUCUUCUGACCUGCCAACCCCUGCAUGUUUUUCAACUUUUGUUUCAAGCUUUUCAGUCUUUGAGUCAUUUCUUCCUAUGCCAUCUUUCGGGCAGGCUUCUCAAUGUUUGCAGGAAGAUCAAACAAGUACGAGUGGUACUGCUCUUGCUGGGUAGAAAAUUGUGAAUCAUGACAAGGUUGUCCUUGGUCAUUGGCCCAUGCUUGACACAUUUUGGUCAUUUGUUGUUUCAGUAUUCUAUUUUCCUCAAACACAGCAGACUUUUGUCGAACCCUCUGACCCUGAGUCUCUUGAGCACUUGUAACAGCUUCGAUGUCAGUUAUCAUUUUUCUUUAGAUCUUGUGUUGUCCGCUUACCACAAACCGACCAACUAAAGCUAUCUUCAUAAUUCAAAACAAAAGACACGUUAGAAUGGACUCAGCCAGUCCUUAUUAUUAUUAUUAUUAUCAUUUUUUUUAUUUUUCAUUUUUUUUGGUUAAUCGAACCUGUUGUGGGUAGCCUAUGUAUCAUGUGGGAACAUGAAUCAGAUCUUGCAUAGUUCGGGAAGAAUAAGAAUAACGUAAAUAAACUAACUCUUUUUUUUUGGAUUUUGAACUUUUUUCGAAAGAAAGACUUAAAAAGAAAAAAUAAAAUAUUUUUGGAUUUCGAUUUGUUUGUUUGUUUGUUUUAAAAAAAAAUUAAAAGAAAGACUUCUCAAGAAGAAAGAAAAUAUUUUUUUUUUGGAAUUUUGACUUUUUUUUUCUUUUUCUUUUUUUGAAAUUUCGAAAGAAAAACUUCUAAAGAACAAACGAGAUAUUUUUGGAAUUUUAUUUUGAAUUUAUGAAAGAAAUGCUUCUAAAGAAAAAGUAAAUAUUUUUGAAUCUUGAAUUUUCUUUUCAAUUAUUGAAGAAGAAUGAAAAUAUUUUUGGAUUUUGAGAAGACAUUAAAAGAAAAUGUUUUUGUAUUUUUUAAAAAAUUGGGGUCUAAAAGAAAGACUUUCUAAAGAAGCAAGUAAUGGAAAAUAUUUUUGGAUUUAUUAUUUAAAAACAAAAUUUGGGCCAGAACCGAUGAGAUUUGCCUACGUAUCUCAUAUCCGGUGAGAAUCAAACCCGCGUAGUUCGGCCAUUUUGACAUAACCGGAAAAACAUGAUAUUGACUCACUUUCAUUUUUUGAAAUACAUUUUCCUUUAUUUAUUUUUCAAAAAUUUUGGCAAAGUUUUGAGGCAUUUUCAACUACCGAAAUUUUCAGGACCGGGUGAAUUCUCUAUCCUACAUCGCUUUUGGUUUUUCUGUUGUUUUUCUUUCCUUAGCCAGUCAACAUACAAGCCAAAGCAAAUAAAUAUACAAAUAGCACGUAAGAUGUAUCAGGAUGGUGUUAGGUAUUCCCGGGUUCCGUGGUUUUAGCACGGUCGCUUCAAUCAUGCCUGACUUAAUUAAAUUGUCUAAUUACUUAUUUUAGAACCUAUGUGCAUUUUUACCUCUUACCGCUUUUAAUUGCUUGAUCAUUCAUAACAAUAGAAUUAUCUUGGAACGAGUCACGCGUACGUGUAAUCGUUUUGUUAGGUGCGCUAUAAAUCAUGUCACACGUACGUGUACAUAAUUAGUAACACUUAUUAAUAUUUAGAUUGUUUCAUCCAAAGUUGCGAGAAAGCAUACCUUGGUUUUAACUUUGAAAAUCGUAACCAUGUCACGCGAACGUGUACAUAAUCACGAUAAUUUAUUUAUUAAUACACGCCUAAAGCAUUUCUACGAAUAUUCAUUAUUCUUCCAAAAUUUUGAGAUUUUUGUAAGGAUAAAGAGUUAUGGAUAGUUGUAAAAAAGAGGUGCAUGAUUGUGAUGUUAUUGGGCUUCAUAGGAUUUAAUUUUUGGCCCAAAUUAAUUCUAAUAAAUACUUUAAGCUUUAAAGUCUAACACUUCUCAUUCCUAAAAUCACUACUAAGUUGUCAUCUACAGCACAUUAAAUAUCUAAGAAAAUUUAAACUAAAAGAAGAUCUCUAUCGAAAUAAAACAAUUUAGCCUGACUCUAUUGCCGAUAACUCAUUUUCAAUUCAUUUUAAAUCAAAUCCCAUAGCACAUCGACCAACUAUUUACAGAAACGAAAUAAGCUAUAGGGGUAAAGCAUAGCAUAAAGCAGAGCCAGAGAUCGACGCUGCAGAACCCAAGCGGAAUUAAACCCAACCUUCCAAACUCCCUAAGCUAAAUUAACUAAUUCAAUAACUUGUAUUGUAUGAUUAUUUUAACAUGCUACCGUAAAAUUAGACAACACAAGCAUAUCAGCAAGAAAAAAAUCAAAAUCUAUGGCAAAUCGGGGUAUGAACUAAUGAAAAUUCUUUAACAAAUAUUACAAGCAAACACAUGAACAGAGAUUCACGAGCACACAUAAUAUAAAAAAAAUCAACAAAAAAUAUAAAUCGAAAGAAGCAAGAACGAACUUCAAUCAGCCAUACUUUCGUUUACAAUGGGAGCUAUCAAAUCCAAGUACAAUGGAGAGGUUCGACUUAAUAAUUCUGUUUGAGAUCUGAACCAAGAUCGGAGACUUCUAAAGGCGACAUCGUCGGAACCUCGAAUCGGCGAAGUCGAACAUCACCUCACUUUAACGAUUAUUACGGAGCUGAUUUUGGACUGAUUUUGAAGUUGUUUUCGAGCUAUUUCAUAGCUGGUUUCUAUUGCAUUUUGGGAUGCUUUUCGUAGCUGUUUAACCGGUGGAUUUAGACUAAUUUUCAUAGCUAAUUUUGGAGAUGUUUAGGUUCCUUUUGGAUUUGUUUCCAUGGAAGUUCGAGCUGAGUUUUGGACUGGUAUUUAUGGCUGAGUUUCAUGGAGUUUCAACUGAUUUGGGGUGAGUUUAAAUGGCGGUGAAUAUAGCGAGGAACAGGAAGAAGGUAGCUGCAGCUGCUUUUUCUCUAUUUUUGUCUAAACUCUUUUUUCGUCUCUUUCUCCAAAUCCCUCUAUUUUCACCUCUCCAUUUUUAAUUUUUGGACCUUGUUCUUAUCGCCCCCCCCCCCCUGUUUUUUUGUUGUUUUUUUUGUUUUCUUCUCAGAUCUCUCGUUCUCUUUUAUUUUGUUCUCUGAAUCCCCCCUAUUUUGUGACUCCCUCCCCUAGUUUUGAUUUGGUCCAGAUCUGGUUCUCAAAGGUGGGGAAUGACCAGCUCUCUCUUUUCUCGAUCCGGAGUUAGGCCUUUUCCUGUAUUUUUUUUUAUCGUUCAACCAGAUCUCCCCUCUCGUUCUUUUCUCCCAGGUCUAUAUUGUGGGGUGUGUGUGUGUGUGUUUAUAUAUUUAAAAGAGAUUAAAGAAAAGCCCCUCCCCAAGAAAAACGUGACCAGCCCCUUUUUCCCUUUUUUUGUUGUGCCAAAUCCCUUUUUCUCUUUCUUUUCCAUAUCUGUUAUGGGUGUGUAUACAUAAGUGUGUGUGUGACUUUUUUUGUUAUUUUUGGAAUAAAAUGUGCAUGUG